rnacentral:rRNA from 1 species
CGCUAGCGGCAGGCCUAACACAUGCAAGUCGAGGGGUAACAUAGAGAAGCUUGCUUUUCUGAUGACGACCGGCGCACGGGUGCGUAACGCGUAUGCAACCUACCUCUUACUGGAGGAUAGCCCGAAGAAAUUCGGAUUAACACUCCAUAGUAUUAUCAUUUCGCAUGAUUUUGAUAAUUAAAGGUUACGGUAAGAGAUGGGCAUGCGUCCCAUUAGCUAGAUGGUAAGGUAACGGCUUACCAUGGCAACGAUGGGUAGGGGGCCUGAGAGGGUGAUCCCCCACACUGGUACUGAGACACGGACCAGACUCCUACGGGAGGCAGCAGUGAGGAAUAUUGGUCAAUGGAGGCAACUCUGAACCAGCCAUGCCGCGUGCAGGAAGAAUGCCCUAUGGGUUGUAAACUGCUUUUAUUUGGGAAUAAACCUUUCUACGUGUAGAAAGCUGAAGGUACCAAACGAAUAAGCACCGGCUAACUCCGUGCCAGCAGCCGCGGUAAUACGGAGGGUGCAAGCGUUAUCCGGAAUCAUUGGGUUUAAAGGGUCCGCAGGCGGACUGAUAAGUCAGUGGUGAAAUCCCGUAGCUUAACUACGGAACUGCCAUUGAAACUGUCAGUCUUGAAUUCGGUCGAAGUGGGCGGAAUGUGUC